AGCUUGCUCCCUGAUGUUAGCGGCGGACGGGUGAGUAACACGUGGGUAACCUGCCUGUAAGACUGGGAUAACUCCGGGAAACCGGGGCUAAUACCGGAUGGUUGUUUGAACCGCAUGGUUCAAACAUAAAAGGUGGCUUCGGCUACCACUUACAGAUGGACCCGCGGCGCAUUAGCUAGUUGGUGAGGUAACGGCUCACCAAGGCAACGAUGCGUAGCCGACCUGAGAGGGUGAUCGGCCACACUGGGACUGAGACACGGCCCAGACUCCUACGGGAGGCAGCAGUAGGGAAUCUUCCGCAAUGGACGAAAGUCUGACGGAGCAACGCCGCGUGAGUGAUGAAGGUUUUCGGAUCGUAAAGCUCUGUUGUUAGGGAAGAACAAGUACCGUUCGAAUAGGGCGGUACCUUGACGGUACCUAACCAGAAAGCCACGGCUAACUACGUGCCAGCAGCCGCGGUAAUACGUAGGUGGCAAGCGUUGUCCGGAAUUAUUGGGCGUAAAGGGCUCGCAGGCGGUUUCUUAAGUCUGAUGUGAAAGCCCCCGGCUCAACCGGGGAGGGUCAUUGGAAACUGGGGAACUUGAGUGCAGAAGAGGAGAGUGGAAUUCCACGUGUAGCGGUGAAAUGCGUAGAGAUGUGGAGGAACACCAGUGGCGAAGGCGACUCUCUGGUCUGUAACUGACGCUGAGGAGCGAAAGCGUGGGGAGCGAACAGGAUUAGAUACCCUGGUAGUCCACGCCGUAAACGAUGAGUGCUAAGUGUUAGGGGGUUUCCGCCCCUUAGUGCUGCAGCUAACGCAUUAAGCACUCCGCCUGGGGAGUACGGUCGCAAGA
rnacentral:rRNA from 1 species